rnacentral:lncRNA from 1 species
AGAAACUUAAAAGAAUAAAUCAUUUAACCAUAACAGUUAGGAAGGCCAAGACAGAGAGGUCAACGGACUUCUCCAAGACCUCAGAGCAGGGGGGCCAGCCCCCAGGCCUCCCACCUCCCAUCACACCACCCCUCCCGGGUUCAGGGGUGCUCUUCUGCUCCCGCUGCAUGGCACUUCUCCCCUCUCUCUAGCCUGUGACACUGGCGAUCACUCUUCUCUCACCAAAUCUACCCUCCCUGGGCCUUCAAGACGCCGCUGGCCCCUGGUCUUCCUCCUACUUCACUGUCAGCUCCCUCCAGUCUCCUACCUGGGCAGCUCCUUCUCUACCCAUGAGUCUCAAAUGCCCCUUUGAAGUCUUCAAGAUGGGUUUGGUGAGCAUCCAGGCCCAAACCCCACCCCUCCUGGGUUGUCAUUCCAUCCCCGCCAGCAGCCCAUCCCUCUAGCGUGUCCUGCCUGAUCAGACACAGCUGACUUCAUACCUCAAGGGGAGGGGUCACCAAUCCUCCACAACCCUACCUCCAGGGAGCCCUCCAGGAUACCGCCUACCUUCCAGAUAGUGCCUGUGGACAUCCUUCUGUUGGAGGAGCAUCUGUUCAGCGAGGUAGAUGAAACCACUCUUGGAUGCACCGUUGUUUGCUCUGAUUUGCCAGUUUGAGGCCCUUGGACUCCCGCCAUGUCACCAAAGCCCUGCGCCUCCCAUCACUGGUUAAACGGCCAAGACCUUCCCAUACAAGAGCCUCUUGAUUCUUGCCUAAGGACUUUGCUUUACACUUUUACAAAACAAUAAAUGCUGUUAACAUUUAUUAAACAACGUACACAUCUGAUCUCAUUUGCUCCUUCCAC